CCAUCGUCCAUUUAAUCGAAAAACAAAACAGCAUAGAACUCGCUUCCGGUGAGUUCUCGAUCGUAGGUCUCAACCAAGGGAACAACGUCGUCGCUGUACUCGCUCGUAUUGGGGAUGAGAUUCAAUGGCCAUUAGCCAAAGACGAACCCGCUGUAAAACUUGACGAUUCUCACUACUUUUUCACUCUCAGCGUUCCCUCAAAUGGGUCAUCGGGAAAUCACGAUUCCGCCACCGGCCAUGCUAAUCGAGAGCCGGAAAUGUUGAACUACGGCCUGACCGUUGCGUCAAAAGGGCAGGAGGAUCGAUUGAAGGAGUUGGAUCGGAUAUUAGAUCAGUACAGUUGUUUUUCGGUUCAGAAAGUGGAGGAAUCAGCGAAGUGGGAGGUUUUGGAUGGAUCAGUGGCGAGGGAAAUCUCGCCGGAAGAUAUGGCGGCGUCUGAGGAGAAAAGGGAUUUGCUAGAAGAAAGAUCUGCUGCUUAUUGGACAACAUUGGCGCCGAACGUCGACGAUUACAGCGGCAAAGUCGCACGGCUGAUUGCGGCCGGUUCUGGACAAGUGAUUAAGGGGAUUUUGUGGUGUGGGGAUGUAACUGUGGAUCGAUUGAACUGGGGAAAUGAGUUCAUGAAGAAACGGAUGGGGCCUCGAUCUGAUGCAGAGAUAAGUCCGGCGGCCAUGAAGAGUAUAAAGAGUGUGAAGAAGCUGACGAAGAUGACGGAGAAAGUGGCGAAUGGAAUACUUUCUGGCGUAGUGAAAGUGUCUGGAUUCUUCACAAGUUCGAUAGUAAACUCUAAAGUGGGGAAGAAGUUCUUCAGUCUUCUUCCUGGAGAAAUUGUUCUUGCUUCAUUGGAUGGAUUCAACAAGGUUUGCGAUGCAGUUGAAGUGGCAGGAAAGAAUGUGAUGUCUACUACAUCCGUUGUGACUACAGG
rnacentral:misc_RNA from 1 species